GGAAUCUUGGACAGUGGGCGAAAGCCUGAUCCAGCCAUGCCGCGUGAGUGAAGAAGGCCUUAGGGUUGUAAAGCUCUUUUGGUGGGGAAGAUAAUGACGGUACCCACAGAAUAAGCCCCGGCUAACUUCGUGCCAGCAGCCGCGGUAAUACGAAGGGGGCUAGCGUUGUUCGGAAUUACUGGGCGUAAAGCGCACGCAGGCGGAUUGAUUAGUCAGAGGUGAAAUCCCAGGGCUUAACCUUGGAAUUGCCUUUGAUACUGUCAGUCUUGAGUCCGGGAGAGGUGAGUGGAAUUCCUAGUGUAGAGGUGAAAUUCGUAGAUAUUAGGAAGAACACCAGUGGCGAAGGCGGCUCACUGGCCCGGUACUGACGCUCAGGUGCGAAAGCGUGGGGAGCAAAC
rnacentral:rRNA from 1 species